GGGGGGUUCCCGAGUGGCCAAAGGGAGCAGACUGUAAAUCUGCCGGCACUGCCUUCGAUGGUUCGAAUCCGUCCCCCCC
rnacentral:tRNA from 1 species